rnacentral:rRNA from 1 species
CAGCCGCCGCGGGAAUACGAAGGGGGCGAGCGUUGCUCGGAAUGACUGGGCGUAAAGGGCGCGUAGGUGGCGUGCACAGUCAGAUGUGAAAUUCCUGGGCUUAACCUGGGGGCUGCAUUUGAUACGUGCAGGCUUGAGUGUGGAAGAGGGUCGUGGAAUUCCCAGUGUAGAGGUGAAAUUCGUAGAUAUUGGGAAGAACACCGGUGGCGAAGGCGGCGACCUGGUCCAUAACUGACGCUGAGGCGCGAAAGCGUGGGGAGCAAACAGGAUUAGAUACCCGCGUAGUCCCUGUCUCUUAUAC